rfam:Haemonchus placei strain MHpl1 genome assembly, scaffold: HPLM_scaffold0000906
GGCCCAAACUUGAAGUAGAGUAGAUUGGUAGGAUCCGCUGACCAUACUAGUGUACUCUUCUUCAAGUUUGCGCCC